rnacentral:misc_RNA from 1 species
AACAAGGCGUACCUGCGGACCUGCGGAGGGAUCAUUACCGAGUGUGAACCCCCCCGUAAAAAAGAGGGGUUACCUCCCGUCCUUUGCUGGGAACCCCUUUCCAACUUGGAAGGAGGUUGUUUUCAGACCCUUCUGCUUCGGUGGGGUAACCCACCGGAACAACCUCAAAAAUAUUCUCAAUUCAAAACCGUUCAGUCCGAGAACUUUUUCGAAAAGCGAAAAAACUUUCAACAACGGAUC